rnacentral:rRNA from 1 species
AUUGAACGCUGGCGGCAGGCCUAACACAUGCAAGUCGAGCGAGCGGCGGGCGGGUGAGUAAUGUAUGGGGAUCUGCCUGAGGGCGGGGGAUAAAUACUGGACACGGUAGCUAAUACCGCAUACCCUAAGGUGAACCCAUAUGGGAUUAGCUAGUAGGUAAGGUAACGGCUUACCUAGGCGACGAUCCCUAGCUGGUCUGAGAGGAUGAUCAGCCACACUGGGACUGAGACACGGCCCAGACUCCUACGGGAGGCAGCAGUGGGGAAUAUUGCACAAUGGGCGCAAGCCUGAUGCAGCCAUGCCGCGUGUAUGAAGAAGGCCUUCGGGUUGUAAAGUACUUUCAGUCGGGAGGCGUUACCGACAGAAGAAGCACCGGCUAACUCCGUGCCAGCAGCCGCGGUAAUAC